rfam:Soybean dwarf virus ORF3, ORF5 genes for coat protein, readthrough protein, strain:YP, isolate:IT00-2.
UGGUGAGUUGCUGUUGUGGGAUCCUGGGAAACAGGUUCGGUGAACAAAAGCCGGUAAUCUCGGGCGUUUGUCAGACGCCGCCGAAUCAACACAGUAUGCAU